GCUUUCGUAAAGGGAAGUGUGGCGAAAAAAAUGCUCAUGAAUAUGUGGGGAAAUAUUUCUUGAAGAAUUUCAUACAGCAGAAAGCAUAAGUUGAGAGUAAUUUGUUAAAUCAAGAUAUUGCAAAAUAAGUAGAAAUUAUAUUUUUUAUAUAUUAAAUAAAUAAAGAAAAACUGAACACAAAUUAAGAGGUGCGAUAAAUGCUUUACGCAAUCCUAUACUUGACUCCAAUCUUUUAGGCGCAUCGAUAUGGGAUAGUUGUUGGAUAUGGGAAGUUGUCGGAGCUACGUAGGCAACAACAAAAUAAUUGAUUCGAUUACUGUAGUAAGUGUGAAUAAAUCAGAUGCAAAUUGCCACUAAUUCUGUGAAAUCAAGCGCACUACAACACAUCUGCCAUCACCUCAACCGUAGUACUACACCGUAUAAACUGCGACAGAGAGAUAGAGAGAGAGAUGAAGAAUGUCACUGGAUAGUGGCAAGAUUUAUGAUCACCGGUUGUAGUGCUGCAGUACAACGUUUGCAUCAUCGGUACUUCAGUACCAAACGCCUACGGAGGUGCAUCGGAUCGUGGGGUGAGUGAGUAAGAUGUCGCCGUGAGCGAUCGUUGGCAUAUUGUUCCAGAGAAUCUGCCCAGCUGAAACUCCCGGAGGUCGCGAAUGGUUAUGAAUCACUGAACCAGAACCGGUUCAGUUUAAUGGGGUGGCGCGUACAACCCACCAACCGGGAGGUUAAAUCAAUCCUGGGCUGUGUGAUGUUGGUAAGGUACAGGACAAACAAUUUGCGACGGAACAGGCCAUUUUUUAGCUUUACAGCAAAAGCUUCGGUCGUAUUCGGUGUUUCAUCAACGCUGUUAUCAUGGGAAGAAAAAUUCUUUCCACACACGCUUGGCUAACUAAACGGGUUGAUGAAUAGGAGAUGCACUGAACUAAUCCCAGAAUUAAUUAUUCAGUAAUAAGUGUGCUGAAAGAAUGGCUGGCUUGACCACUGCAGCACCGUUUUAUCCGAGAUCAAACAUUAGCCGGAUAAUGGACCAGCACGGAUAAAAGGUACAUCUUUGUCUUUGAUCAAUAAUUGAAGCCUUUACCAUUUGUCCAUAUAGACAUUAAAGAUGAUCUGUCAAAUUGCGUUUUGAACUGUCAUUGGUGAGUAACACGGAUAAACUGUCAUCCGGUUAAAAGUGUACCCGAAUAAACGAAAUUCACUGUAUGUUCAUGGAAUAUGUUCAAGUAGAUAAAAGCAAAGUGUUUUUAUUUUGUUUUUUUUUUAAUAAUAAACGGUCUAACACGAUUUUCUAUUACUUCUUGACAUGACUUCUCCAAUCGGUACAUUAUGAACCACAAUAAAUGUCACUUUUUUCUUUUUCAACACAAACAGAAAAUAAAAACCCUCUGUUUAGCCAACGUUAGCUUAGCAAAUCAGCCAAGGCAAUCCUUAUGAAAUAAUCUACGCUUAUUACAAAAUCAUUACAAGUGCACGUUGCAUGAUGUUUGCAUUCACGUUAGAUCGCAGCGGUCAUAUAUUUGAACCAGCACAAACGCAGAAACAAACGUGACACACCAGAUGAUCGAGUUCUUUGCUAACGCACUACUAACAGCUCGAUUCAAUAAAGCUACGGGAGAAACAUUAGAACGCAUCCGAUGAUAGACAUUUACGUUUCGUGAUGAGUUUUAUGGCGUUUGCUUGUUAGCGACAGUACAGGCAACCAUGAUGGUGGCCCCCACCGCUUGAACAGCAGUUCGUAGUUCAACCCCCAUAUCAACGGGAUCGUAAGAUGUUUGAUGGCUUUUACCCUGCCAGCACAAAGAGAUAUUCGAUCGUGUGGGUCAUGAUCGAUACCGUACAGCCGCAGCGCAGCGUAUGUAUGCGUGUCUGUAAUCGGAGAUUUUUGGACAAAAAUUCAUAAGUUGGGUACCUAAGACGGGUAAAAUCGUAAACUGUGUGUAAAACAUAUUUUAACGAGUAUGUUUUUAUGGGUAACGCGUGUUGGAAACCGUAGCGAUUGUCGACAAUGUUUCGUUUUAUGGUUGGACGAAAUUAUGAAUUAUGAUCCAUCCAGGCACCAGAUUUGUUUGUUAUGUGUCCGUAAAUACGAUUUUGUGUUAAAUUAAGACAAUAUUUAAUGUUUCUUUUCGCUGUUGGAUAAGCGUUUAUCGCAAAUGAAUUAUUAUAGUUGAAGUUAAUGACGGUGUUCUUCGUCAUUUGGUCCACCGUCUCCAUUCUCAUUGGUUUUGUUGGUUGAAAUUGGAUGCUCAGAGCAAGUAACCAUUGAAAAAUACAGUAAUGUCAGAUAGUCUCGGAGAUAUACGAUACUUGAUAUAGGAAGAUUUUAAAACUUGACA